rnacentral:rRNA from 1 species
AACGAACGCUGGCGGCAGGCUUAACACAUGCAAGUCGAGCGCCCCGCAAGGGGAGCGGCAGACGGGUGAGUAACGCGAGGGAAUCUACCCAUCUCUACGGAAUAACGCACGGAAACGUGUGCUAAUACCGUAUAUGUCCUUCGGGAGAAAGAUUUAUCGGAGAUGGAUGAGCCCGCGUUGGAUUAGCUAGUUGGUGGGGUAAAGGCCUACCAAGGCGACGAUCCAUAGCUGGUCUGAGAGGAUGAUGAGCCACACUGGGACUGAGACACGGCCCGACCUUCUACGGGAGGCAGCAGUGGGGAAUAUUGGACAAUGGGCGCAAGCCUGAUCCGGCCGUGCCGCGUGAGUGAUGAAGGCCCUAGGGGUGUAAAGCUCUUUCACCGGUGAAGAUAAUGACGGUAGCCUGAGAAGAAGCCCCGGCUAUCUGCGUGCCAGCCGCCGCGGUAAUAC